rnacentral:rRNA from 1 species
AUAUCAAUAAGCGGAGGAAAAGAAACUAACAAGGAUUCCCCUAGUAACUGCGAGUGAAGCGGGAAAAGCUCAAAUUUAAAAUCUGGCGGUCUUUGGCCGUCCGAGUUGUAGUCUGGAGAAGUGCUUUCCGCGCUGGACCGUGUAUAAGUCUCUUGGAACAGAGCGUCAUAGAGGGUGAGAAUCCCGUCUUUGACACGGACUACCAGUGCUUUGUGAUGCGCUCUCGAAGAGUCGAGUUGUUUGGGAAUGCAGCUCAAAAUGGGUGGUAAAUUCCAUCUAAAGCUAAAUAUUGGCGAGAGACCGAUAGCGAACAAGUACCGUGAGGGAAAGAUGAAAAGCACUUUGGAAAGAGAGUUAAACAGUACGUGAAAUUGCUGAAAGGGAAACGCUUGAAGUCAGUCGCGUCUGCCGGAACUCAGCCUUGCUUUUGCUUGGUGCAUUUUCUGGUAGACGGGCCAGCAUCGAUUUUGACCGUCGGAAAAGGGCUAGAGAAAUGUGGCACCUUCGGGUGUGUUAUAGUCUCUGGUCGCAUACGGCGGUUGGGAUCGAGGAACGCAGCGCGCCGCAAGGCAGGGGUUCGCCCACUUUCGCGCUUAGGAUGCUGGCGUAAUGGCUUUAAACGACCCGUCUUGAAACACGGACCAAGGAGUCUAACAUGCCUGCGAGUGUUUGGGUGGUAAACCCGAGCGCGUAAUGAAAGUGAAAGUUGAGACCUCUGUCGUGGAGGGCAUCGACGCCCGGACCUGACGUUCUCUGACGGAUCCGCGGUAGAGCAUGUAUGUUGGGACCCGAAAGAUGGUGAACUAUGCCUGAAUAGGGUGAAGCCAGAGGAAACUCUGGUGGAGGCUCGUAGCGAUUCUGACGUGCAAAUCGAUCGUCAAAUUUGGGUAUAGGGGCGAAAGACUAAUCGAACCAUCUAGUAGCUGGUUCCUGC